rnacentral:tRNA from 1 species
GGGGAUUUAGCUCAGUGGUAGAGCGCUUACCUAGGAAGUGCGAGGCCCUGGGUUCGGUCCCCAGCUCUG